AGAACUAUCACAUAGAACUAUCACUAUUCUAAUUCAAAUUUCUAUUUUAAUAAAUAAAACAAGAAAAAGGUAAAAAAUACUUAUUUUGAAAAAGACAAUACCUAUUUAGACAACUUAGAGAGUGAGAACAAAUCCUGGUGACAUGAAUGUAUAGAUCUACUGCAUCUAAACCUUGUAAUAUUCCAAUGAUAGGCCUUUAGAUUUAGACUUGGACAAUGCGCAAAAUGUUCCUGAACAUUAUUAAACUAUUGAAUAAAUGUUCACGUUUUCCUAAAAGUUUUGGCAAAGGUACAAGUUGAAUAGAGGUAUUGCCUAAAAAUUGAAUACCAAAUAUUGCCACCAAAUUGGUUUUGUUUUGUCUUGGCAUUUAUAUACAUAUAUAUUUUUUUUUAAUUUGUAUUUUGUAUAUACCAUUUUAAACAGGCUUUUUGAGACAUUAGUUUACUAACAAAUCUUCUGUGAAAAAACCAACUCACUGUGAGAUUGUUUCAAUAAUUUUAAAGUUGUUUAUCCACUACCUUCUGCCAUUGACCUUAUACAAAAUAUGAAAUGAGCUACAUUGACAAACUGUCUAUAGCCAAGACAAAAAGUAUUUAAAGCCUAACGAAUGAAAUUGUUCAGUUGGAGAUUUUGUACUUUAGAAGGCAGAGGGAAGAGAGAGAGAGCAGACUACAGGAAAUGUCCUUGCCAUAUUUCUAUUUAUAGCUGAUUGUUUUGUUCAUUGCUUAUUUUUGUAUUCUGCAGUUGACAAAUAAACAAAACUGUUGAUUUCAAU